rnacentral:rRNA from 1 species
UUACGGUCAAAUCACGCUGAAAACACCGGUUCUCGUUCGAUCACCGAAGUUAAGCAUCGUAGAGCCAGGUCAGUACUUAGAUGGGGACCGCCAGG